GCCCCCGUAGCUCAGCUGGAUAGAGCAAUCCCCUCCUAAGGGAUAGGUCAUAGGUUCGAAUCCUAUCGGGGGCG
rnacentral:tRNA from 2 species